AUGUCUUUUUAAAGUUGAGUUAUCUCUUAGAUUAGCACAGAAGAAUAAAGGAGAUCUCCAUAAUACCCAAAGAAGAAAUGGUAAAACUCUUCUUUGGAUCCUGCCUGGAAUUAUAGCU